rnacentral:tRNA from 1 species
AGCCCUGGAACACCUUUAGAGUUCGUCUCUAGACUUGCAUUCUAGUGUAAGCUAUACUA